ACGAAUAGAGAUUAAGAAGUAAUAAGAAUUACAAACCGAUUUGUACAAAUUCCUAUAAAUUACAUAUACAAAAGGGGAAGAGAUAGAUUAACGUCAAACGUGACAAGGUCCAAUUAAAACAGUAAUUAAAACACAUUCCCAAGGUUCAAAUAAUUUGAUUUUAGCGCCUUAUCUCAUAGCUCAAUUAUAGUUUAAGGCACAAGUCCAUAGUCACCCAUUUUUCUAACUAUUUAAUCACAUCAAAUAAUCAAAUGGAAUGCAACAUAAACAAUUAGAUUUAGUGUAUAUGGGCAUAAGAGUAUUAUGAGUUUAAACAACUAACAAAAUUAAAAUAAAAUAUUUUAACUUUCUAGUUAGUAGGGGCUUAAAUGCAAAUAUGAAAAAGUUAGGGGUCAAACUGUAAAUACUCAAAAGUAUAAAAUAUCUACUUUUCAAAUAUUACAAAAUAGCCCCACAAGUGGAUAAAUCCACUAGGGGAGGCCGGCCACUUAAUGGCGAUGGGAGACUCUUACACAAUCUUACACAACAUGCAUUAAAUCAACAUUAUGUAGAAAAAAUUAAAUUUUGCUUGUCACUUGGUUUUGGCUUCAAAGACUUUAGUAAAAGGGUGAUGGAAAUCUCCUAGUCAAGUCUAGGAUUUAAUAAAUUUUUGAUAUGGCUAUGGAUGAUAUGUACAUCAUCCAAAACCACAAAACAAUGCAUGAAAACCAAAUAAAACCAUUUUCACCCAAAACCAAACUAUGAACACCAAGAACAAAACCAUGAACACAUUUUUCAAGAUUUGUAUAUUCUUGGUGAUUUUUCAAACCCAAAAACAAAAGUGACAAGAACACUUCUUUCUAGCUUUAAAAGGAUGUGAGAGUGGUUUACAAUAAAGCACAAACACAACCCAAAACCACCCCCAAAACCGUGCCCUCCCUUUGGUUCAAAACCCCAAAUUUUUGUUCAUGACUUAUUCUUCAUUCAUGCAUAUCUUUUUCAACUCUUGAUUUAUAUUUUUCAACCAUUGAAAAACAAAAGAUAAACAUUCUUUAAAUGAAGAAAUAAUAUGUCAAACUAGUUCUAAACUCAUUUUUCAUUCAUGCAUACAAAACAUAUUUUGCAUACAUAUCUUUCUCAACUUUUGACUAACAUUUUUCAACUAUUGAAAAACAAAAGAUAAACUCAUUUUGAAUGAAGCAAUAAUCAUGUCAUACAUAAUAUUAAUACCCAUAUGCAUAAAAUCUAAAAGGACACAUUAUACAUAAACCUUUGGCUCUGAUACCACUUGAAGGGAAAUUAAGAGUUUAACAUUUGGGAUUUCUAAAUGACUAGCAUGCAUAUACAAUUCAAAAUUUAUAUACAUGAGCAAUGGAAGCAAUAUAUCAAAUAAAAUCAAAGCUAUAGUCAUGCAAAUCCCCUUCAAGGUUCAUAGGUUUAUAUAUAAUGCAUCAAAACAAUU
rnacentral:lncRNA from 1 species